rnacentral:rRNA from 1 species
AGCGAACGCUGGCGGCAGGCCUAACACAUGCAAGUCGAACGAACCUUUCGGGGUUAGUGGCGGAUGGGUGGGUAACACGUGGGAACGUGCCUUUAGGUUCGGAAUAACUCAGGGAAACUUGUGCUAAUACCGAAUGUGCCCUUCGGGGGGAAGAUUUAUCGCCUUUAGAGCGGCCCGCGUCUGAUUAGCUAGAUGGUUGAGGUAAUGGCUCACCAAGGCGACGAUCAGUAGCUGGUCUGAGAGGAAGAUCAGCCACAUUGGGACUGAGACACGGCCCAAACUCCUACGGGAGGCAGCAGUGGGGAAUCUUGCGAAAUGGGCGAAAGCCUGACGCAGCCAUGCCGCGUGAAUGAUGAAGGUCUUAGGAUUGUAAAAUUAUUUCACCGGGGACGAUAAUGACGGUACCCGGAGAAGAAGCCCCGGCUAACUUCGUG